rnacentral:rRNA from 1 species
ACGCCGCNUGAGUGAGAAGGCUUCCGGUCGUAAACUCUGUGUANGGGAAGACAAGUGUUAGUGAAUAAGCUGGCACUGACGGGUACUAACCAGAAAAGCCACGGCUAANUACGUGCCAGCAGCCGCGUAAUACGUAGGUGNCAAGCGUAUCCCGAAUUAUUGGGCGUAAAGCGCGCGCAGUGGGUUUCUUAAGUCUGAUGUGAAAGCCCACGGCUCANCCGUGANNGGUCAUUGGAAACUGGGAGACUGNAGUGCAGAAGAGGAAAGUGGAAUUCCAUGUGUAGCGGUGAAAUGCGUAGAGAUAUGGAGGAACACCAGUGGCGAAGGCGACUUUCUGGUCUGUAACUGACACUGAGGCGCGAAAGCGUGGGGAGCAAACAGGAUUAGAUACCCUGGUAGUCCACGCCGUAAACGAUGAGUGCUAAGUGUUAGAGGGUUUCCGCCCUUUAGUGCUGAAGUUAACGCAUUAAGCACUCCGCCUGGGGAGUA